UGCAGAUGGCACUCAGCUGGCAUAGUUCUCCCAUAAGAGUAUUAAAGCAGGUGAGAAGGCCAUAGCAUCUUUUUUCUUCAAAGUGGCUGUUGGAGAAGUGGAGGCCUGGAGGUGUUAUUCUGUGGAUCCAGCACAGAUCCAUCUGACAGGGGCAGAGGAAGAAAAUCCGCCUUACUCUAUGUCUUUGCAACAGGAGAGAGGGGCAAGCUAAUGCAGUUCACCUGUUCUGCUCUUCUGGCAGGAGGAAAAGGGAACAAGAAAAAGCACAAGAACACGUACAUGCUGAGUGGAGGAUUUGCAGAAUAGCUGAAGACCUGAUCUUCCUUGUUAUUUUUUAUUGAGAAUAAGAACAUAUCAAGCAUUAAACAAAAGUGUAUUUAGAAAUAUGACUUGUAGCAAAUUUCUAUAUUUUCUAAGAUUCUGAUCGUGAAAUCUCUGGAUAUGAUUUCAUAUAAAGGUUUGAUAAGAAAUCCCAUGCUAUUGGAUACAAGUUUCACAGCACUAAUUUGGGCACCUCAUACAUGACUCCUACUUUUGGAUUAAUGAAUACUGUUGACUGUGUGCUUGAUAACCUGCUCCACUGAACAAUUUUCUGGUGUACCAUGCAAGUACAGAAAGUACAAUACUAAUUAGCUGCUUUGCCCAUCUACUUAAAACGUUUUGCACAUGCCAGCAAAUGUAAAUACACAAUUAGGGCAUAUUUACUUAAAAGACAAAGCAAGACAAAGUACAACUAUUAUUAGCCAGAAAAAAAACCUUCACAAUCUUCAUCCAUAUUGAGGUCUAAUUAAGUUGCAAAAUGUGUAAAUCAGCUCAGG
rnacentral:lncRNA from 1 species